GACGAACGCUGGCGGCGUGCUUAACACAUGCAAGUCGAACGGAAAGGCCUCUUUCGGGGGGUACUCGAGUGGCGAACGGGUGAGUAACACGUGAGUAACCUGCCCUUGACUUUGGGAUAACUUCAGGAAACUGGGGCUAAUACCGGAUAGGAGCUCCUGCUGCAUGGUGGGGGUUGGAAAGUUUCGGCGGUUGGGGAUGGACUCGCGGGUUAUCAGCUUGUUGGUGGGGUAGUGGCUUACCAAGGCUUUGACGGGUAGCCGGCCUGAGAGGGUGACCGGCCACAUUGGGACUGAGAUACGGCCCAGACUCCUACGGGAGGCAGAAGUGGGGAAGAUUGCACAAUGGGUGGAAGCCUGAUGCAGCAACGCCGUGUGCGGGAUGACGGCCUUCGGGUUGUAAAACGAUUUCGCUCAUGACGAAGCUUUGUGUGACGGUAGUGGGUAAAGAAGCACCGGCUAACUACGUG
rnacentral:rRNA from 1 species